GACCCCGUGGCCUAAUGGAUAAGGCAUCUGACUUCAGAUCAGAAGACUGAGGGUUCAAGUCCCUUUGUGGUUG
rnacentral:tRNA from 1 species